UAUUAUAGGAAGAAGAUUUUACAUCAUUUGCCAUUGAUCAGCCAUCUUGUUCAAAUGAAUCUGGCAAGAUUUACGAUGUAUGUAUAUCUCCGGAUGUAACCAUCGCUUUGAAUAAGACUGAAUUCAAUGAAUUCUUUCUUAAAUUGGAUGAUGAUGAUUCGCAGACUAAUGAUGAUGGCAACGAUUCGGAAAGUGACAAUGAUAAGAAGAAUGAUGAAGAUGGAAAAGAUCAAGAGAAGCGUAAAGACAGUGAUUUGAAGCAUAGAAAGGAGGAAAAGAAGGGAAGUCCGUCGAAGGGAAAGCCUACAUCAAAUACUCAUGGAGAUGAAAAUGAUUCCGAUG